UUCAAAAUCCCCAAUUCUUUCAAAAUCCCCAAAUCUCAGCCGUCCGCCAUGAGCGACCGCCGCGACAGGGACAGAGAUAGAAACAGAGACCGAGAUCGUGACCGGAAAAGAGUCCGCGACGACCGUGACCUCGAUCGCGACCGCGACCGAGACCGCGAUCGUAGCAGACGCUCCCACUCUCGCACGCCCGACCGCACAAGAUCCCGGCACACACGCUCUCGAACUCGUUCGCCCGACGAGAGGGACCGCCACCGCCACAGACACCGCCACCACCGCUCUCGCUCUCGCUCCCCUACCUCCCCUGCUCGUAAGCGCCUCAAGGACGACGUCGUUCUCAAGGACAAGGACGACGCCGUUUCGAAGGAUAAGAAGCAGAAGGAGAACGCCUCUGCUGGCAGUGAUGAUGUGAAUAAGGAUCUGGAAUUGAUGGAUGAGGAUGAGAUGGAGAUGAUGAAGAAAUUCGGCAUUCCAGCGGGGUUCGAUUCCACCAAGGGGAAGCCGGUGGCAGGAAACGACGUCGGUGCGGUGAGGAAAGUCACGAAGCGGCAGCCACGCCAGUACAUGAACCGCCGCGGCGGAUUCAAUCGCCCUCUCCCUCCCGAGCGUAAUCGUUGAUAACUGACCAUUGCCUGCAGAUAGAAGCGUGCGAUGAUCUUCAUUGAACUAGGAGAUAUUUUCGUUGAUUAAAUUGGACAACUGAAGAAGAUGUAAGACUUCCAUUAACUUGUUUAAUGGAAAAUGCUUCUGUGCAAUUUCCCAGAAUUGUUUCUGAUUCUAAUGUGAUUCCAAUUUCUCUAUGCUGUAUACUAAACAGUAUAUUUCUGUAACCUUUGGCUGCUUACAAAUACUGUUGCUGGUGGCUAAGAGGGUUCAAUCAUGAUAUUGUCUUAAUGCAGUUAGAACAAGUACGCGUUGACCAUCCCUCGAACACCCCUUCUUGUUUAAAUCAAGAGAGACGAUUGCAGUUGAUGUAUGACUUCCACUGGGCUGAGUGGAGAAUGUGUUUGUGCCAUUUUUUACUAGGUUGCAAGUACUCAACUAUGUUCUUUCUGUAGUGAUGAGCAUGUUUUUCCAACUAGUUGAGUUAUUAACAUCAUAUUCAUGUAACUUUACUCUAUACUGUCUUGAGAGAUACUAUUAUGAGAAUUACUGCGUUGAGUUU